CCAAAUCUUGUGGUCAUAUGUUGCACUGGCAGAAUCAAGAUUGCAUCACAAAUCCUGGUUAUUAGGAAGUCUGGGAAAUGUAGUAUUAGACUUCUUGCUCCUGCAACAAGUGUAUGUGUGUAGAGCAGAUCACAGGGGAAGGUAGAAACAAAUGCCCAAUAUAAAUAGGCAUUCAGCAGAAGAGGACACCGAUGCAGAGAAAAGUUCUGGAAUCUGGGAAGUCCAAGGUUGAGAGCGUUUAUCUGGCAAGAGCUUUCUUGUUGGUGGGGAUCCUCUGCAGAAUCCUGAGGCAGCACAGGACAUUACAUGAGAACUUCCCUUCAUGAUGCUAUGCAAUCCCCAGGAGAAGCACGUUGAAAGCUGAGAAUCCUUCUUGGCACUGGGAAUACAGAGGUGAUGGGCAGGAAAAUUCCCUGAUUUUAUAGAGCUUAAAUUCUUGUAGGAGAGACAGACAAUAACAAAAGAAGACUGACUGAGAUGUGUUGGCGGGCUUCUCAAGAUCCCUAUCGAUGGCAGAAUGCUGACAUGAGUUGCCCAUAGUCCAGGUUUCCCAAUGUAGCAGAUGACUCUAGCGGCUCCAGCUUCAGCAUCAUCUUAAGUUCAAGUGAAAAGGAAAAGAGAAUCUCUUUUUCUUCAAACAAUUUCAAACUAAAAUCUUGAGUCUGACUUUUCCUGGCCAGAAUUAAGCUUGUACUUAUCCCUGAAAAAUCAUCAAUGCUACAGUGAUGAAUUUACCAAUUGAGGCAGAAUUUAGGUCACAUGACGCUCCAAAGCCUCUUCAAAACCGCAUGACUCAGAGUGAGGCAGAAGUAUUUGGGAUAUUUGCAACAGGAGAAGGGUAAAUGAAUGGAGAGUGCCAAAACAACUUAUGUCAAUUAUACAAUUAUAAAUACAACCAAAAUAAAGUAUGGAAAUCAGUAUUUUCACCUAUCUUAACAGAGUGAAAGAUUUAUUCUGUUGAAUAUUUGCCAUAUUUCACUUUCCACAUUCAGCACUCUGCAAUAUUUAAAGAAGAAAAUAAGUCUCCAUAUACUGAAUAAAGACAUAUCAAAAUUUGUGUGACAUCAUAUUCCUUAGUUACAUUUUUUGUUCAUUCAUUUGUGUGUUUGUUUAUGUCACCCACACUAGAUCAUGGUGGUGUGAACAUGGUUCACUACAGCCUCAACAUCCUGGGCCCAAGCAAUCCUCCCACCUCAGCCUCCUGUGUAGCUAAGACCACAGGUGGGCACCACCAUGCCCAGCUACCUUUUAAUUUUUUGUAGAUAUGGGGGUCUCACUUUGUUGCCCAGGCUGGUCUCGAACUCCUGGGCUCAAGCUAUCCCCACAACACUUUGGUUUGGCCUCCCAAAGUGUCGGGAUUACAGGUGCGAGCCAGUGCACUCAGCCUUACAUUUUUUAAUAAAUGAAUUUAAACAAAGAAUAGAAACAUAUUUUUAAACACACCAAUUAACAAACCAAAGUGUAUUGCAAAUUAUUGGAAGGGACAGCAGAGUGAAAAAAUGUUAUCCCACCUGCAGGAGGUGGAAAAGGUGAUAAUAUGAAACAAAUAUUUCCACCUAUCCUAAUAGAGUAAAAGAUUUAUUCUGCUGGAUAUUUUCUGUAUUUUACCUACCUUCCACAUUCAGCACUCUGCACUCUCUUGCCCAACUAUUCCUUUUAAUUUUCCCAUAAUACAACUUUUUAAUAUUUUAUGUAAUAUAUGUAUUUAUUUCUUUCUUUUACUAACUGUGUUUCCUACUGGAAUGUAAGCUUCAAAAAUUCAGAGAUCUUUGUCCUUGUUGCUGAUAUAGCCUACUGUCUAAAAAAAACUUCAGAUAUUUAAUUUUUUUAACUUUUAAGUUCAGGGGUACAAGUGCAAGUUUGUUACAUAGAUAAACAUGUGUCAUGGGGGUUUCUUGUGCAUAUCAUUUAAUCACUCAGGUAUUAAGCUUAGUACCCAUUAGUUAUUUUUUUCUGAUCUUCUCUCUCCUCCUAUCCUUCACUCUUCAAUAGGCCCCAGUGUGUGUUAUUCUCCUCUAUGGGUCCAUAUGUUCUCAUCAUUUAGCUCCCACUUAUAAGUGAGAGCAUGCAGUGUUUGGUUUUCUGUUUCUGUCAGUUUGCUAGGGAUAAUGGCCUCCAGCUCCAACCAUGUUCCUGCAAAGGACAUGAUCUCAUUUUUUUUAUGGCUGCAUGGUAGUCCAUGGUGUAUAUAUACCACAUUUUCUUUAUCCAGUCUAUCAUUGAUGGGCAUUUAUAUUGAUUUCAUGUCUUUGAGAUUGUAAAUAGUGCUGCAGUGAACAUAUGUGUGUAUGUGUCUUUAUAAUAUAAUGAUUUAUGUUCCUUUGGGUAUAUACCCAGCAAUGGGAUUGCUGGGUCAAAUGGUUUUUCUGUCUUUAGGUCUUUGAGGAAUUGCCACACUGUCUUCCACCAUCUUUAUUUCUGCCUUCGUUUCGUUAUGUACCAGUAGUCAUUCAGGAGCAGGUUAUUCAGUUUCCAUGUAGUUGAUCAGUUUUGAGUGAGUUUCUUAAUCCUGAGUUCUAGUUUGAUUGCACUGUGGU
rnacentral:lncRNA from 10 species